rnacentral:rRNA from 1 species
UGUGAACUCGAAGAGUAGGGCGGGACACGUGGUAUCCUGUCUGAAUAUGGGGGGACCAUCCUCCAAGGCUAAAUACUCCUGACUGACCGAUAGUGAACCAGUACCGUGAGGGAAAGGCGAAAAGAACCCCGGCGAGGGGAGUGAAAAAGAACCUGAAACCGUGUACGUACAAGCAGUGGGAGCACCUUCGUGGUGUGACUGCGUACCUUUUGUAUAAUGGGUCAGCGACUUAUAUUCUGUAGCAAGGUUAACCGUAUAGGGGAGCCGAAGGGAAACCGAGUCUUAACUGGGCGUUAAGUUGCAGGGUAUAGACCCGAAACCCGGUGAUCUAGCCAUGGGCAGGUUGAAGGUUGGGUAACACUAACUGGAGGACCGAACCGACUAAUGUUGAAAAAUUAGCGGAUGACUUGUGGCUGGGGGUGAAAGGCCAAUCAAACCGGGAGAUAGCUGGUUCUCCCCGAAAGCUAUUUAGGUAGCGCCUCGUGAACUCAUCUUCGGGGGUAGAGCACUGUUUCGGCUAGGGGGCCAUCCCGGCUUACCAACCCGAUGCAAACUACGAAUACCGAAGAAUGUUAUCACGGGAGACACACGGCGGGUGCUAACGUCCGUCGUGAAGAGGGAAACAACCCAGACCGCCAGCUAAGGUCCCAAAGUCAUGGUUAAGUGGGAAACGAUGUGGGAAGGCACAGACAGCCAGGAUGUUGGCUUAGAAGCAGCCAUCAUUUAAAGAAAGCGUAAUAGCUCACUGGUCGAGUCGGCCUGCGCGGAAGAUGUAACGGGGCUAAACCAUGCACCGAAGCUGCGGCAGCGACGCGUAUGCGUUGUUGGGUAGGGGAGCGUUCUGUAAGCCGUUGAAGGUGUGCUGUGAGGCAUGCUGGAGGUAUCAGAAGUGCGAAUGCUGACAUAAGUAACGAUAAAGCGGGUGAAAAGCCCGCUCGCCGGAAGACCAAGGGUUCCUGUCCAACGUUAAUCGGGGCAGGGUGAGUCGACCCCUAAGGCGAGGCCGAAAGGCGUAGUCGAUGGGAAACAGGUUAAUAUUCCUGUACUUGGUGUUACUGCGAAGGGGGGACGGAGAAGGCUAUGUUAGCCGGGCGACGGUUGUCCCGGUUUAAGCAUGUAGGCGGAGGUUCCAGGUAAAUCCGGUACCUUUUAACGCUGAGGUGUGAUGACGAGGCACUACGGUGCUGAAGUAACAAAUGCCCUGCUUCCAGGAAAAGCCUCUAAGCAUCAGGUAACACGAAAUCGUACCCCAAACCGACACAGGUGGUCAGGUAGAGAAUACCAAGGCGCUUGAGAGAACUCGGGUGAAGGAACUAGGCAAAAUGGUGCCGUAACUUCGGGAGAAGGCACGCUGAUAUGUAGGUGAAGCCCCUGCGGGUGGAGCUGAAAUCAGUCGAAGAUACCAGCUGGCUGCAACUGUUUAUUAAAAACACAGCACUGUGCAAACACGAAAGUGGACGUAUACGGUGUGACGCCUGCCCGGUGCCGGAAGGUUAAUUGAUGGGGUUAGCGGCAACGCGAAGCUCUUGAUCGAAGCCCCGGUAAACGGCGGCCGUAACUAUAACGGUCCUAAGGUAGCGAAAUUCCUUGUCGGGUAAGUUCCGACCUGCACGAAUGGCGUAAUGAUGGCCAGGCUGUCUCCACCCGAGACUCAGUGAAAUUGAACUCGCUGUGAAGAUGCAGUGUACCCGCGGCAAGACGGAAAGACCCCGUGAACCUUUACUAUAGCUUGACACUGAACACUGGUCCUUGAUGUGUAGGAUAGGUGGGAGGCUUUGAAGCGUGGACGCCAGUCUGCGUGGAGCCGUCCUUGAAAUACCACCCUUUAAUGGCUGGUGUUCUAACGUAGACCCGUGAUCCGGGUUGCGGACAGUGUCUGGUGGGUAGUUUGACUGGGGCGGUCUCCUCCCAAAGAGUAACGGAGGAGCACGAAGGUUAGCUAAUCCUGGUCGGACAUCAGGAGGUUAGUGCAAUGGCAUAAGCUAGCUUGACUGCGAGAGUGACGGCUCGAGCAGGUGCGAAAGCAGGUCAUAGUGAUCCGGUGGUUCUGAAUGGAAGGGCCAUCGCUCAACGGAUAAAAGGUACUCCGGGGAUAACAGGCUGAUACCGCCCAAGAGUUCAUAUCGACGGCGGUGUUUGGCACCUCGAUGUCGGCUCAUCACAUCCUGGGGCUGAAGUAGGUCCCAAGGGUAUGGCUGUUCGCCAUUUAAAGUGGUACGCGAGCUGGGUUUAGAACGUCGUGAGACAGUUCGGUCCCUAUCUGCCGUGGGCGCUGGAGAAUUGAGGGGGGCUGCUCCUAGUACGAGAGGACCGGAGUGGACGCAUCACUGGUGUUCGGGUUGUCAUGCCAAUGGCACUGCCCGGUAGCUAAAUGCGGAAAAGAUAAGUGCUGAAAGCAUCUAAGCACGAAACUUGCCCCGAGAUGAGUUCUCCCUGACCCUUUAAGGGUCCUGAAGGAACGUUGAAGACGACGACGUUGAUAGGUCGGGUGUGUAAGCGCAGCGAUGCGUUGAGCUAACCGAUACUAAUGAACCGUGAGGCUUAACCUU